AAGGACGUGCUAAUCUGCGAUAAGCGUCGGUAAGGUGAUAUGAACCGUUAUAACCGGCGAUUUCCGAAUGGGGAAACCCAGUGUGAUUCGUCACACUAUCAUUAACUGAAUCCAUAGGUUAAUGAGGCGAACCGGGGGAACUGAAACAUCUAAGUACCCCGAGGAAAAGAAAUCAACCGAGAUUCCCCCAGUAGCGGCGAGCGAACGGGGAGGAGCCCAGAGCCUGAAUCAGUGUGUGUGUUAGUGGAAGCGUCUGGAAAGGCGCGCGAUACAGGGUGACAGCCCCGUACACAAAAAUGCACAUGCUGUGAGCUCGAUGAGUAGGGCGGGACACGUGGUAUCCUGUCUGAAUAUGGGGGGACCAUCCUCCAAGGCUAAAUACUCCUGACUGACCGAUAGUGAACCAGUACCGUGAGGGAAAGGCGAAAAGAACCCCGGCGAGGGGAGUGAAAAAGAACCUGAAACCGUGUACGUACAAGCAGUGGGAGCACAGAGCAAUCUGUGUGACUGCGUACCUUUUGUAUAAUGGGUCAGCGACUUAUAUUCUGUAGCAAGGUUAACCGAAUAGGGGAGCCGAAGGGAAACCGAGUCUUAACUGGGCGUUAAGUUGCAGGGUAUAGACCCGAAACCCGGUGAUCUAGCCAUGGGCAGGUUGAAGGUUGGGUAACACUAACUGGAGGACCGAACCGACUAAUGUUGAAAAAUUAGCGGAUGACUUGUGGCUGGGGGUGAAAGGCCAAUCAAACCGGGAGAUAGCUGGUUCUCCCCGAAAGCUAUUUAGGUAGCGCCUCGUGAAUUCAUCUCCGGGGGUAGAGCACUGUUUCGGCAAGGGGGUCAUCCCGACUUACCAACCCGAUGCAAACUGCGAAUACCGGAGAAUGUUAUCACGGGAGACACACGGCGGGUGCUAACGUCCGUCGUGAAGAGGGAAACAACCCAGACCGCCAGCUAAGGUCCCAAAGUCAUGGUUAAGUGGGAAACGAUGUGGGAAGGCCCAGACAGCCAGGAUGUUGGCUUAGAAGCAGCCAUCAUUUAAAGAAAGCGUAAUAGCUCACUGGUCGAGUCGGCCUGCGCGGAAGAUGUAACGGGGCUAAACCAUGCACCGAAGCUGCGGCAGCGACACUAUGUGUUGUUGGGUAGGGGAGCGUUCUGUAAGCCUGUGAAGGUGUGCUGUGAGGCAUGCUGGAGGUAUCAGAAGUGCGAAUGCUGACAUAAGUAACGAUAAAGCGGGUGAAAAGCCCGCUCGCCGGAAGACCAAGGGUUCCUGUCCAACGUUAAUCGGGGCAGGGUGAGUCGACCCCUAAGGCGAGGCCGAAAGGCGUAGUCGAUGGGAAACAGGUUAAUAUUCCUGUACUUGGUGUUACUGCGAAGGGGGGACGGAGAAGGCUAUGUUGGCCGGGCGACGGUUGUCCCGGUUUAAGCGUGUAGGCUGGUUUUCCAGGCAAAUCCGGAAAAUCAAGGCUGAGGCGUGAUGACGAGGCACUACGGUGCUGAAGCAACAAAUGCCCUGCUUCCAGGAAAAGCCUCUAAGCAUCAGGUAACAUCAAAUCGUACCCCAAACCGACACAGGUGGUCAGGUAGAGAAUACCAAGGCGCUUGAGAGAACUCGGGUGAAGGAACUAGGCAAAAUGGUGCCGUAACUUCGGGAGAAGGCACGCUGAUAUGUAGGUGAAGCGACUUGCUCGUGGAGCUGAAAUCAGUCGAAGAUACCAGCUGGCUGCAACUGUUUAUUAAAAACACAGCACUGUGCAAACACGAAAGUGGACGUAUACGGUGUGACGCCUGCCCGGUGC
rnacentral:rRNA from 1 species